rfam:Operophtera brumata OBRT01_Sc00616, whole genome shotgun sequence.
CAUUGGGCCCUUUUCAGGGCCACAAACUUAGUAGAUACUAUUAGU